AAAACUGUUUAACAAUAAAAUAGGGGGAUCAAUUUUACAUUAAUAGAUUUAAUUCUAAUUCCUAUUUUAAAACAUUCAUUUGUAUUUUAACUGACUCAUGAAACUACUUCCUAUAUUUUAAAUUCAAACAACUUUGAUUAAUUUCUCAUAUUUCUGCAUUAAAAAUUGAUGAUAUGACCAUUUUUAAUGACAUGUCACUUAUUUUUUUAUCUUUUAGGUGUUACAAAUAUUCUUAUAU
rnacentral:lncRNA from 1 species